AAUACUGGACAAUGGGCGAAAUCCUGAUCCAGCCAUGCCGCGUGUGUGAAGAAGGUCUUCGGAUUGUAAAGCACUUUAAUUUGGGAGGAAGGGCUUUAGGCUAAUACCCUGAAGUCUUGACGUUACCAACAGUAUAAGCACCGUCUAACUCUCUGCCUGCAGCCGCGGUAAUACAUAUGGUGCAAGCGUUAAUUGGCAUUACUGGGCGUAAAGCGCGCGUAGGUGGUUCAGUAAGAUGGGUGUGAAAUCCCCGGGCUUAACCUGGGAAAUGCUUUCAUAACUGCUGAGCUAGAGUAGGGUAGAGGGUAGUGGAAUUUCCUGUGUAGCGGUGAAAUGCGUAGAUAUAGGAAGGAACACCAGUGGCGAAGGCGACUACCUGGACUGAUACUGACACUGAGGUGCGAAAGCGUGGGGAGCAAA
rnacentral:rRNA from 1 species